UCUAAUUUUCUCACUCAAAUCAUCAAUGUGAAAUUCCUGCUUUGCAUUAUGCAGUCGAUCCCGCUCAAAUGUUUUAGAACUCGAUGUAUUCUUCAAUUCCCAUUGUAAUCAAACCCAUAAAUCCGCAAAUCAUAUAAUAUUUAAGUGAUGAUCAAGUGUAAUCCCAUUAAAUCAUGAAAAGACCACUCCAUAUAUUUUGAUAUAAACCCUAAUCCUCACAAACUUUCUCUGGAUUUAGGCUUUACAAUAUUGAAUCGACCACCACCAAGCUCCACCGCCUCCACCUUUUCAUCUGACAUGGUUAAGAAGAAUCAGGGAACUGCAUUUCCUUUUAAAUAAGUUGACCUAACAAGUGAGUACUCCGAUUUCAGGAUGAGCAAUUUGGACACCUCAAGAGGUCUAACUUCUAGCUUAUGGAUUAGAAUCCCUUACCCAAUAAGGAAAAGAAGAAGAAACAUCCAUCUACUAUUGAGAAUGAUCAACCACCAAUUUUCCUGCCCUUUGAUAUGUACCAAGUAGGAAGAAUGGCUGAUCAGUUUGCUAAGCCUCCAUCAGAUCCUUUUGAAGAAAAAGAUGGUGCUAAGCCUCAAAGAUUAGUUAAAUCAUACUCCCAAUCUGCAAUGUAAAACACUAAGACCAAAAUAGAAGGAAUCAACUAUACACAUAAAUCAAAAAUGGAAUUUGUUCUAAGAUUUAUCUUUCUUUGAUAGGUCAGAUGCUCCUUAUAACUUGCCUUCAAGAUUUAUCUUUCUCUGGUAUAUUGCACACAUGAGUUACCAUUGAAGUGAAAUAUACAAAUAUGUAGCUUCAAAAUCAACAUCAAUCUUUGAUUUUGUGUAAGAAAAAGUUGGUAAUUUCUACCUCCCUUUGAUACUAUUUUAUUACAGAACCCAGCUACCGAUGUAGAAAAGAAAAUCAGUCGAAUGUUGACAAGAGAUGAGAGCUUCAAUUGCAUGGUUGCAUAUUGGUUUGAUCUUCAUGGUCACUUAUACAAGGCAUUCCCUCCAGAUAUAUUCCUCUGGAGUCAUCUGUUUCUAUUAUUACAUGUAUAUGAUGACAAGAAAUCUAUUAAAGUUCAAUGAAAAGAACCUCAAACGGGAAAAAUAGUUGAAAAUUUUGGUGAUUUUUUAGUUGCAGCAGAUGGUUGUUUGUCUUCAAAAUGUCAGACAUUCCCUCCUUCCCUCCUGACCUCAAAUUAAGGUUUGUAAUCCAAGAUGAAUUUGAAGUAUUUUAACAUAUUUCUACCGAGUUUUUUCUAUUUGUUAAUGUAAAGAUAACAAUACUGUUUAUUAAUAACAACCAGUUUUUUUUAA